rnacentral:rRNA from 1 species
GAUGAACGCUGGCGGCGUGCCUAAUACAUGCAAGUCGAGCGAACAGACGAGGAGCUUGCUCCUCUGACGUUAGCGGCGGACGGGUGAGUAACACGUGGAUAACCUACCUAUAAGACUGGGAUAACUUCGGGAAACCGGAGCUAAUACCGGAUAAUAUAUUGAACCGCAUGGUUCAAUAGUGAAAGACGGUUUUGCUGUCACUUAUAGAUGGAUCCGCGCCGCAUUAGCUAGUUGGUAAGGUAACGGCUUACCAAGGCAACGAUCCGUAGCCGACCUGAGAGGGUGAUCAGCCACACUGGAACUUAGACCCGGUCCAGACUCCUACGGGAGGCAGCAGUAGGGAAUCGUCCGCAAUGGGCGAAAGCUUGACGAAGCAAGGACGCGUGAGUGAUGAAGGUCUUCGGAUCGUAAAACUGUGUUAUUAGGGAAGAACAAAUGUGUAAGUAAAUAUGCACGUCUUGACGGUACCUAAUCAGAAAGCAACGGCUAACUACGUG